rnacentral:rRNA from 1 species
UACGUAGGGCGCGAGCGUUGUCCGGAUUUAUUGGGCGUAAAGAGCUCGUAGGCGGCUUGUCGCGUCGACUGUGAAAUCCCGCGGCUCAACCGCGGGUCUGCAGUCGAUACGGGCAGGCUAGAGUUCGGUAGGGGAGACUGGAAUUCCUGGUGUAGCGGUGAAAUGCGCAGAUAUCAGGAAGAACACCAGUGGCGAAGGCGGCUCUCUGGGACGGUACUGACGCUGAGACGCGAAAGCGUGGGGAGCGAACAGG